AGAGUUUGAUCCUGGCUCAGAACGAACGCUGGCGGCAUGCCUAACACAUGCAAGUCGGACGCUCAUGAGGGUUUCGGCCCUUGUGGGAGUGGCGGACGGGUGAGUAGCGCGUGGGAACCUGCCCUCUUGUGGGGGAUAACCGAGGGAAACUUCGGCUAAUACCGCAUGCGCCCCUGGGGGAGACCUCGGGGGGAAAGAUUUAUCGCAGGAGGAGGGGCCCGCGUCGGAUUAGGUAGUUGGUGGGGUAACGGCCUACCAAGCCUGUGAUCCGUAGCUGGUCUGAGAGGAUGAUCAGCCACACUGGGACUGAGACACGGCCCAGACUCCUACGGGAGGCAGCAGUGGGGAAUAUUGGACAAUGGGCGCAAGCCUGAUCCAGCAAUGCCGCGUGAGUGAUGAAGGCCUUAGGGUUGUAAAGCUCUUUCGGCGGGGACGAUGAUGACGGUACCCGCAGAAGAAGCCCCGGCUAACUUCGUGCCAGCAGCCGCGGUAAUACGAAGGGGGCGAGCGUUGUUCGGAUUUACUGGGCGUAAAGGGCGCGUAGGCGGCGGACCUUGUCGAGUGUG
rnacentral:rRNA from 1 species